CGUAGGUGGCGAGCGUUGUCCGGAAUUAUUGGCGUAAAGGGCGCGUAGGCGGCUCUUUAAGUCAGAUGUGAAAACCCAGGGCUUAACUCUGGGAGUGCAUUUGAAACUGAAGAGCUCGAGUGCAGGAGAGGUAAGUGGAAUUCCUAGUGUAGCGGUGAAAUGCGUAGAUAUUAGGAGGAACACCAGUGGCGAAGGCGACUUACUGGACUGUAACUGACGCUGAGGCGCGAAAGCGUGGGGAGCAAACAGGAUUAGAUACCCUGGUAGUCCACGCUGUAAACGAUGGAUACUAGGUGUGGGAGGUAUCGACCCCUUCCGUGCCGCAGUUAACGCAAUAAGUAUCCCGCCUGGGGAGUACGGCCGCAAGGUUG
rnacentral:rRNA from 1 species